ensembl:snoRNA SNORD24 Small nucleolar RNA SNORD24
UGCAAAUGAUGGAAAAGAAUAUUUGCUAUCUUGAAUGAUGGUGAUGAAUUUCAUAACCACCAAGAUCACUGAUGCA